GAGUGAUCAAGUGUCUUAAGGGCAUUUGGUGGAUGCCUUGGCAUGCACAGGCGAUGAAGGACGUGAUACGCUGCGAUAAGCGUCGGGGAGGUGCGAAUACCCUUUGAUCCGACGAUUUCCGAAUGGGGCAACCCACCUUAGAUGACUAGAAAAUCUGUUUUGUUGGAGCAACGCUGGAUGGGUUUACACCCAUACAGACCGCUAGGUCGUCGGCCCAUGUGGGCCGCCCCCGCGGAGCGCCAGCAUUCCUCUGGAAUGCGUACGGCGCGUGAGCGAGAACAGCACAGCUUUCUAGUCAUCAUAAAUAAGGUAUCUAACCUUGAAUACAUAGGGGUUAGAAGCGAACCUGGGGAACUGAAACAUCUAAGUACCCAGAGGAAAGGACAUCAAACGAGACUCCGCUAGUAGUGGCGAGCGAACGCGGACCAGGCCAGUGGCUUUUGUGAAUAAAGUGGAACGAGUUGGAAAACUCGACCGAAGUGGGUGAUAGUCCCGUACACGUAGAAUAGCAGAAGUCCUUGAGUAGGGCGGGACACGUGAAAUCCUGUCUGAACAUGGGUCGACCACGAUCCAAGCCUAAGUACUCGUGCAUGACCGAUAGCGAACCAGUACCGUGAGGGAAAGGUGAAAAGCACCCCGACGAGGGGAGUGAAACAGUACCUGAAACCGGAUGCCUACAAACAGUUGGAGCCCAAGGUUUGUCCUGGGUGACAGCGUACCUUUUGUAUAAUGGGUCAGCGACUUAGUGUAUCGAGCAAGCUUAAGCCGGUAGGUGUAGGCGCAGCGAAAGCGAGUCUGAACAGGGCGUUCAGUUCGAUGCAUUAGACCCGAAACCAAGUGAUCUAGCCAUGAGCAGGUUGAAGGUACGGUAACACGUACUGGAGGACCGAACCCAUAUCUGUUGCAAUAGAUCGGGAUGACUUGUGGCUAGGGGUGAAAGGCCAAUCAAACUUGGAGAUAGCUGGUUCUCCGCGAAAUCUAUUUAGGUAGAGCGUCGACCGAAUACCCCCGGGGGUAGAGCACUGGAUGGGCUAUGGGGACUCACCGUCUUACUGAUCCUAACCAAACUCCGAAUACCGGGGAGUACUAGUCGGCAGACACACGGCGGGUGCUAACGUCCGUCGUGGAGAGGGCAACAACCCUGACCACCAUCUAAGGUCCCUAAGUUAUGGCUAAGUGGGAAAGGAUGUGAGGAUCCCAAAACAACCAGGAUGUUGGCUUAGAAGCAGCCAUCAUUUAAAGAAAGCGUAACAGCUCACUGGUCUAAAUAAGGGUCUUUGCGCCGAAAAUGUACCGGGGCUCAAGCCAUACACCGAAGCUGUGGAUGCACGUAUGUGCGUGGUAGCGGAGCGUUCCGUAAGCCUGUGAAGGGACAGUCGUGAGACAUCCUGGAGGUAUCGGAAGUGAGAAUGCUGACAUGAGUAACGAUAAAGGGAGUGAGAGACUCCCUCGCCGAAAGUCCAAGGGUUCCUGCUUAAAGUUAAUCUGAGCAGGGUUAGCCGGCCCCUAAGGCGAGGCCGAAAGGCGUAGUCGAUGGGAACCACGUUAAUAUUCGUGGGCCUGCAGGUAGUGACGGAUCGCGUGUGUUGUGAGGUCUUAUUGGAUUGAUCUUGCAGCGAAGCGGUUCCAGGAAAUAGCUCCUGCAUAUAGACCGUACCCUAAACCGACACUGGUGGACUGGUAGAGAAUACCAAGGCGCUUGAGAGAACUGCGUUGAAGGAACUCGGCAAAAUGCACGCGUAACUUCGGAAGAAGCGUGACCUCACUAUGGGCAACCAUAGGGGGGUGGCACAGACCAGGGGGUAGCGACUGUUUACCAAAAACACAGGGCUCUGCGAAGUUGCAAGACGACGUAUAGGGUCUGACGCCUGCCCGGUGCUGGAAGGUUAAGAGGAGAGGUGCAAGCCUUGAAUUGAAGCCCCAGUAAACGGCGGCCGUAACUAUAACGGUCCUAAGGUAGCGAAAUUCCUUGUCGGGUAAGUUCCGACCUGCACGAAUGGCGUAACGAUNNNNNNNNNNNNNNNNNNNNNNNNNNNNNNNNNNNNNNNNNNNNNNNNNNNNNNNNNNNNNNNNNNNNNNNNNNNNNNNNNNNNNNNNNNNNNNNNNNUUAGACGGAAAGACCCCGUGCACCUUUACUAUAGCUUUACACUGGCAUUCGUGACGACAUGUGUAGGAUAGGUGGUAGACUUUGAAGCAGGGGCGCCAGCCUUUGUGGAGUCACCCUUGAAAUACCACCCUUGUUUUUAUGGAUGUCUAACUGCGGCCCGUUAUCCGGGUCCAGGACCGUGUAUGGUGGGUAGUUUGACUGGGGCGGUCGCCUCCUAAAGAGUAACGGAGGCGCGCGAUGGUAGGCUCAGAACGGUCGGAAAUCGUUCGUCGAGUGCAAUGGCAUAAGCCUGCCUGACUGCAAGACUGACAAGUCGAGCAGAGACGAAAGUCGGUCAUAGUGAUCCGGUGGUCCCGCGUGGAAGGGCCAUCGCUCAACGGAUAAAAGGUACGCCGGGGAUAACAGGCUGAUGACCCCCAAGAGUCCAUAUCGACGGGGUUGUUUGGCACCUCGAUGUCGACUCAUCGCAUCCUGGGGCUGGAGCAGGUCCCAAGGGUAUGGCUGUUCGCCAUUUAAAGCGGUACGUGAGUUGGGUUCAGAACGUCGUGAGACAGUUCGGUCCCUAUCUGCCGUGGGUGUAGGAAUAUUGACAGGAUCUGUCCCUAGUACGAGAGGACCGGGAUGGACGUAUCUCUGGUGGACCUGUUGUGGCGCCAGCCGCAUAGCAGGGUAGCUAUAUACGGACGGGAUAACCGCUGAAGGCAUCUAAGCGGGAAACCCACCUGAAAACGAGUAUUCCCUAUCAGAGCCGUGGAAGACCACCACGUUGAUAGGCCGGGUGUGGAAGUGCGGCAACGCAUGCAGCUUACCGGUACUAAUAGCUCGAUCGACUUGAUCACUCCCAUUU
rnacentral:rRNA from 1 species